rnacentral:piRNA from 1 species
CAGUAUGGGCUUCUUUGAUAGACUCAGGAAA